rnacentral:rRNA from 1 species
GAUGAACGCUGGCGGCGUGCCUAAUACAUGCAAGUCGAGCGAACAGAUGAGGAGCUUGCUCCUCUGACGUUAGCGGCGGACGGGUGAGUAACACGUGGAUAACCUACCUAUAAGACUGGGAUAACUUCGGGAAACCGGAGCUAAUACCGGAUAAUAUAUUGAACAGCAUGGUUCACUAGUGAAAGACGGUUUUGCUGUCACCUAUAGAUGGAUCCGCGCCGCAUUAGCUAGUUGGUAAGGUAACGGCUUACCAAGGCAACGAUGCGUAGCCGACCUGAGAGGGCGAUCGGCCACACUGGAACUGAGACACGGUCCAGACUCCUACGGGAGGCAGCAGUAGGGAAUCUUCCGCAAUGGGCGAAAGCCUGACGGAGCAACGCCGCGUGAGUGAUGAAGGUCUUCGGAUCGUAAAACGCUGUUAUUAGGGAAGAAAAAAUGUGUACGAAACUAUGCACGUCUUGACGGUACCUGAUCAGAAAGCCCCGGCUAACUACGUG